UUUUUUUUUUUUUUUUCGGUCUUUUGUCUUUUUAGGGCUGCACCCAAGGCAUAUGGAGGUUCCCAGGCUAGGGGUCUAAUUGGAGCUGUAGCUGCCAGCUUACACCACAGCCACAACCACGCCAGAUCCGAGCCGUGUCUGCGACCCACACCACAGUUCACGGCAAUGCCAGAUCUUUCACCCACUGAGCCAGGCCAGGGAUUGAACCUACAACCUCAUAGUUCCUAGUUGGAUUUGUUUCCACUGCGCCAUGAUGGGAACUCCCAGAUGAUAUAUAGCUGAUAUACAAGAUGUCAGUAGAAGCUGGGUGAUAGGUACACAGACCCUCCCUGUCUUCUUUUAUAACUUCUUGUGAGUCUACAAUUAUUUAAAAAGAAAAAGGUAAAAAGAUGAAAAAAACCCCAACCCCAAACUCUAUGUCUUUACAUCAUCUACCAUGGUAGAGAUUAUAGGCCUGUAAUAGGUGAUUAAGGUCCCUAAGAAAGGAAGGAGGAGUUCCUGCGGCAGUGCAACAGAAUAGGCGGCAUCUCUACAACGCUGAGAUGCAGGUUCGAUCCCUAGCCUGGUGCAGUGGGUUAAGGAUCCAGCUGUGCUGCAGCUGCAGCAUAGGUCCCAACUCUGGCUUGUACUAAUCCCUGGCCCAGGAAUGCCAUAUGCUGUGGGGCAGUCAAAAAGGAAGGAAAAAAAAAAAAUGAAAUGAAUGAGAUGAAUUAUUGAAUGAGCAACAGACUUUAUGCAUUAUAUUAAUGGCUAUUUAAAGGAAUCAUGAGCUACAGUUCCCGUUGUGGCACAGUGGAAAUAAAUCUAAUAGUAUCCAUGAGGACUCAGGUUUGACCCCUGGCCUUGCUCAGUGGGUUAAGGAUCUGACCUUGCCGUGAGCUGUGGUGCAGGUUGCAGAUGCAGCUUGGAUCCCGUGUUGCUGUGCCUCUGGUGUAGGCCGGCAGCUGUAGCUCUGAUUCGACCCCUACCCUAGGAACUUCCAUAGCCCGAGGGUUUGGCCCUAAAAAGCAAAAAUGAAUAAAUAAAUACAUUAAUAACCAUGACAUUUAAAUUCUGUAGUCCUCCUUGAGAGCUUAAGAACUAGUCUGUGAAACCACAUGGGACUAUAACCUAGUAUCUUUGGGGGGAUAUUUUUUGACACACUGAAAAAUUUCUCCCUUUUGUUAUUGUCCUAUGAGGUUUAUCACCUUUUGGUCAAAGAUUUUGUACCAUAUAUAUAAAUAAAAUAUGUAUCCAGAAAAUAAAAAGAAAAAAAUAAGAGAAUCAUGACAACAGAUGACGUUUUUGAGUACUUGAUAUGUGUCAGGCUUUGUGCAAAGCUUUUAAGCAUUAUCUCAUUUAAUCCUCAGAAGAACUUUAUGAAGAAAAUUUUUCCUUUAAGAGAUAAUUCUACAUGUUUGGUAAAAGUGCAAAUAAAAAACAAGGAAAUUAUGAACCACCAAAAAAAAAAAGAAAUCAGGCUAUCAGUUAACACUGGCUGAUAGGGCUUUGGUGUGGUGGGGAGCUGGGUGUGUGGAGUCACGAUAGAGCUUAUGUGGAUAUUUGUUGUGUCAUUAGUUUAAAGUUGUACAUUUUCUUUAUAUAUAUUCUUGCAAGUGAUCUGUAUUUAUAUGUGGUAACUAGGGUGUAGAAAAUAUAUAAAUAUGAAAAAAACGAAAAACAAAAAAGCACUAAGAGUGAUUGGUGGUGUGACAGGAGUUGCUUUUUCUUUUUCAUUUUGGAUGCCCCCUGGCAUAUGGAAAUUCCCAGCCCAGGGACUGAACCCUCGCCACAGCAGUGACCCAAGCCACUGCAGUGACCCCACCAGAUCCUUAACCUACUGCACCACAAGGGAAGUCUGGGAGUUGUUUUAUUGACAAAGGCAGACCAACUGGAGGUUGUUGGCUCCCAGGUGGGGACACUCGGCUUGGAUCUGUGGGUCACUGUGACCACUGGCCAGAAACCACACCAGACCCUCACAAAGAGGCCCCCGGCAUGAACUGUGCAUGUGUCUUCCAAAUGAGUAGCUCGCUGGGGGAAAUGAAAACGGUUUUCCUUGUAAAAUCUGACAUAACCUAGUGAGUCAUUAAUUCCCCUGGCCCUGUCUGGACUUACAAUCAAAUCGCAACAGUCUCUACUGAUCUAGGGAGCAGGCAUUCGUGCUUUCCUGUGCCUUUAGGAUGUGGAGAGCAGAGGGAGAUAGAGCAUCAACCCUGAAGGUUAAGAGCUGGAAAGAGACGCUGAGAGCACUGCGCCAGGCACUGCAUUUCACAGAUGAAGAACACGAGGUGUAGAUAAGCUGGGACUUGUUCUAGAUUUCACAGCUACUGUCCUGAGUGGUCUGGAUCCCAGAGUUCCAGUCUCAGGACCCUCUACUAUUCGUGAUACUUUCUGAUAGGCUCCAUUGGGGUUUAAGGGCACUCACAGUGAUCCAUACGAAAGAGUCAGACAUAAACACACAUGCAGGACAGUGGGAAACAAAUCGGGAAAAUAAGAUCAAGCUUCUGGAGUUCCCUGGUGUCUCAGUGGGUUAAGGAUCUGGUGUUGUCACUGCUGUGGUAUGAGGUCCAUCCCUGGCCUGGGAACUUCCACAUGCCAUGGGUACAGACAAAAUAAGUAAAUUAAUUAAAUAAACUAUUAAAAAAAGUUUGGAGGGAGGCUUUUGUUCAUGGAGUGCAUUUUAAGCUCUCUUCACAAUGAAUGAUGUGAUUUUUUGCUGCCUUACCCCCAUAGAUGUGAGCUCUUGGAGAAGUCCC
rnacentral:lncRNA from 1 species